rnacentral:rRNA from 1 species
AGUCUUGUUCCUGGCUCAGGACGAACGCCGGCGGCGUGCUUAACACAUGCAAGUCGAACGAUGAAGGAGGAGCUUGCUCCUCCGGAUUAGUGGCGAACGAGUGAGUAAUACGUGAGCAAUGUGCCCUUGACUCUGGGAUAAGCGCUGGAAACGGCGUGUAAUACCGGAUACGACCCUCGGAGGCAUCUCCUGAGGGUGGAAAGAACUUCGGUCAAGGAUCAGCUCACGGCCUAUCAGCUUGUUGGUGAGGUAACGGCUCACCAAGGCGACGACGGGUAGCCGGCCUGAGAGGGUGACCGGCCACACUGGGACUGAGACACGGCCCAGACUCCUACGGGAGGCAGCAGUGGGGAAUAUUGCACAAUGGGCGCAAGCCUGAUGCAGCAACGCCGCGUGAGGGACGACGGCCUUCGGGUUGUAAACCUCUUUUAGCAGGGAAGAAGCGAAAGUGACGGUACCUGCAGAAAAAGCACCGGCUAACUACGUGCCAGCAGCCGCGGUAAUACGUAGGGUGCAAGCGUUGUCCGGAAUUAUUGGGCGUAAAGAGCUCGUAGGCGGUCUGUCACGUCUGCUGUGAAAACCCGAGGCUCAACCUCGGGCUUGCAGUGGGUACGGGCAGACUAGAGUGCGGUAGGGGAGAUUGGAAUUCCUGGUGUAGCGGUGGAAUGCGCAGAUAUCAGGAGGAACACCGAUGGCGAAGGCAGAUCUCUGGGCCGUAACUGACGCUGAGGAGCGAAAGCAUGGGGAGCAAACAGGCUUAGAUACCCUGGUAGUCCAUGCCGUAAACGUUGGGAACUAGAUGUGGGGACCAUUCCACGGUCUCCGUGUCGUAGCUAACGC